GCCCUGCUGACCUGCAGGAGCUCCUUACAUGCUAAGGAUGUCGGACGUCUCCUGGAGUUGUUCGAAGUUUCCCGCUUUUCGUUUCCUUGUUUACAGGCACGGGUCUCAUCCCCCGUUGCUGGGCAACCAGGGCCAGGUCCCAGGAAGACACAGGACGGCACUUCCUAUGUCAUGAGGAUAGCAGAGCAGAUCCAAGGCCCUGCAGCAGUCUGGGGAUGUGGCCCGUACACCAGGCCCAGAGGUGUUCGGCCUUGGCCUUCCCUCCUUGGCUUCCAGCGCUGCCUGCUCAGCCAUCAGUAUCUACUGUGGACCUGUGGGUGCCGCCAGUGCUGGAUCAGGCCUGAGCUGAGAGUCCUCCACCCUGCAGCCCCAGCGGAC
rnacentral:lncRNA from 1 species